GCAGUGGUGGAUCAGUGGCAGAAUUCUCACCUUCCAUGCUACAGACCUGGGUUCGAAUCCCAGCCACUUGCA
rnacentral:tRNA from 1 species